AACGGACGGACGGAAAGAAAGAGAGAAGAGAAAGAAAGGAGAAAGAAAAGAAAGGGAAAGAAGGAGGGAAAGAAAGAGUGAAAAGGAAGGAGAGAGAGAGAGAGAAGAGAAAGAGAGAGAUUUAAAGUUUCGGCACAUGACUCUACGACAGGGGUUACAAACGGCCGUCCAUAUGGGCCGGUUGCCGAGCCCCCAGGCUGGGCUCCAGUGGGUCUUCGUCAGCUUUCAGAACUGUGAAACCGGGCCGUAAGUAUCCCUGGGAAGAUUUGUCGUCGUAACUUCGAACCAGUUGCUAAGCCACCGGUCGUAAGUCGAGGCCCACCUGUAUCCUUUGCGUAGGGUUGAGAGUUGCUUGGGAAAAAAAAAAAAAAAAAAAA